GGGCGCAUAGCUCAGUGGGAGAGCACUCGCCUUACAAGCGAGGGGUCGCAGGUUCGAAACCUGCUGCGCCCA
rnacentral:tRNA from 1 species